rnacentral:misc_RNA from 1 species
CGAUUUUAUGAUGAUACCCAUCUUAAUAGCUACAGGGUUUCAAGCCCAUCGGAUGCUCAUCGUCCACAGCAGCAGCAGCACCAGCAAGAACAGGAAGAAGAUGUUGCUACUAAGGAUGUGGCUGUUGAUACUAAUGUAAAGGAAGUUGUGUGCAUACCACCACCACCACCGCCUCCGUUUCCUCCUCCUCAACCUCCUUCACCCCCAGCGCCACCACUUUCUCCUCUACUGCCACCACCUAGGGCUGUGAGAAGGAAGGUGAAGAGAACAUAUCGAGAUCUUCUGCAUGAAAAGAGAAAAGAAGAGAAGGAUUUGGAAGUUGAGAAAUUCUAUGUACUACGAACUUCUUCAGCAACGACUUCGCCUGCACCCUCACCACCACCAGUUUUCAGCGAGAAUGAGAAAAGGAGAGGUAAAGAUUUCUUGACUUCACUGAGAAGAAACAAAAAGAAGCGGGGAGGAAAAAGUGUUGAAAAUCUUGAGAGCUUAGU